AUAUCAAUAAGCGGAGGAAAAGAAACUAACAAGGAUUCCCCUAGUAACUGCGAGUGAAGCGGGAAAAGCUCAAAUUUAAAAUCUGGCGGUCCUUGCGGUCGUCCGAGUUGUAAUUUAGAGAAGUGUUAUCCGCGCUGGACCGUAUACAAGUCUCCUGGAAUGGAGCGUCAUAGAGGGUGAGAAUCCCGUCUUUGAUACGGACUACCAGGGCUUUGUGAUGCGCUCUCGAAGAGUCGAGUUGUUUGGGAAUGCAGCUCAAAAUGGGUGGUAAAUUCCAUCUAAAGCUAAAUAUUGGCGAGAGACCGAUAGCGAACAAGUACCGUGAGGGAAAGAUGAAAAGAACUUUGGAAAGAGAGUUAAACAGUAC
rnacentral:rRNA from 1 species